rnacentral:rRNA from 1 species
GACGAACGCUGGCGGCGUGCUUAACACAUGCAAGUCGAACGGAAAGGCCCUGCUUUUGUGGGGUGCUCGAGUGGCGAACGGGUGGGUAACACGUGAGUAACCUGCCCUUGACUUUGGGAUAACUUCAGGAAACUGGGGCUAAUACCGGAUAGGAGCUCCUGCUGCAUGGUGGGGGUUGGAAAGUUUCGGCUGUUGGGGCUGGACUCGCGGCUUAUCAGCUUGUUGGUGGGGUAGUGGCUUACCAAGGCUUUGACGGGUAGCCGGCCUGAGAGGGUGACCGGCCACAUUGGGACUGAGAGACGGCCCAGACUCCUACCGGAGGCAGCAGUGGGGAAUAUUGCACAAUGGGCGGAAGCCUGAUGCAGCAACGCCGCGUGCGGGAUGACGGCCUUCGGGUUGUAAACCGCUUUCGCCUGUGACGAAGCGUGAGUGACGGUAAUGGGUAAAGAAGCACCGGCUAACUACGUG